GACAGAGGGUGCAAACGUUGCUCGGAUUUAUUGGGCGUAAAGAGCUCGUAGGUGGUUCGGUAAGUCGGGUGUUAAACCCCCAGGCUCAACCUGGGGACGCCACUCGAUACUGCUGUGACUAGAGUCCGGUAGGGGAGCGUGGAAUUCCUGGUGUAGCGGUGAAAUGCGCAGAUAUCAGGAGGAACACCAGCGGCGAAGGCGGCGCUCUGGGCCGGUACUGACACUGAGGAGCGAAAGCGUGGGUAGCAAACAGG
rnacentral:rRNA from 1 species